rnacentral:rRNA from 1 species
GGAGGAAAGCAGGGGAUCGUAAGACCUUGCGUUAAUGGAGCGGCCGAUAUCUGAUUAGCUUGUUGGUGAGGUAAAGGCUCACCAAGGCGACGAUCAGUAGCUGGUUUGAGAGAGCGACCAGCCACACUGGAACUGAGACACGGUCCAGACUCCUACGGGAGGCAGCAGUGGGGAAUUUUGGACAAUGGGGGCAACCCUGAUCCAGCCAUUCCGCGUGAGUGAAGAAGGCCUUCGGGUUGUAAAGCUCUUUCGCAAGGGAAGAAAACUUAUGAUCGAAUAAAUCAUGAGGUUGACGGUACCUUGAUAAGAAGCACCGGCUAACUACGUGCCAGCAGCCGCGGUAAUACGUAGGGUGCGAGCGUUAAUCGGAAUUACUGGGCGUAAAGCGUGCGCAGGCGGUUUUGUAAGUCGGAUGUGAAAUCCCCGGGCUCAACCUGGGAACUGCGUUUGAAACUACAAAGCUAG